rnacentral:rRNA from 1 species
UACAGAGGGGGCAAGCGGUUGUUCGGAAUUACUGGGCGUAAAGGGCGCGGUAGGCGGCCUACUAAGUCGGACGUGAAAUCCCUCGGCUCAACCGGGGAACUGCGUCCGAUACUGGUGGGCUCGAAUCCGGGAGAGGGGAUGUGGAAUUCCAGGGUGUAGCGGUUGAAAAUGCGUAGAUAUCUGGAGGAACACCGGUGGCGAAGGCGGCAU